GUCGAACGGUGAAGCAGAGCUUGCUCUGUGGAUCAGUGGCGAACGGGUGAGUAACACGUGAGCAAUCUGCCCCUGACUCUGGGAUAAGCGCUGGAAACGGCGUCUAAUACCGGAUACGAGCUGCGAAGGCAUCUUCAGCAGCUGGAAAGAAUUUCGGUCAGGGAUGAGCUCGCGGCCUAUCAGCUUGUUGGUGAGGUAACGGCUCACCAAGGCGUCGACGGGUAGCCGGCCUGAGAGGGUGACCGGCCACACUGGGACUGAGACACGGCCCAGACUCCUACGGGAGGCAGCAGUGGGGAAUAUUGCACAAUGGGCGAAAGCCUGAUGCAGCAACGCCGCGUGAGGGACGACGGCCUUCGGGUUGUAAACCUCUUUUAGCAGGAAAGAAGCGAAAGUGACGGUACCUGCAGAAAAAGCGCCGGCUAACUACGUGCCAGCAGCCGCGGUAAUACGUAGGGCGCAAGCGUUAUCCGGAAUUAUUGGGCGUAAAGAGCUCGUAGGCGGUCUGUCGCGUCUGCUGUGAAAACCCGAGGCUCAACCUCGGGCCUGCAGUGGGUACGGGCAGACUAGAGUGCGGUAGGGGAGAUUGGAAUUCCUGGUGUAGCGGUGGAAUGCGCAGAUAUCAGGAGGAACACCGAUGGCGAAGGCAGAUCUCUGGGCCGUAACUGACGCUGAGGAGCGAAAGGGUGGGGAGCAAACAGGCUUAGAUACCCUGGUAGUCCACCCCGUAAACGUUGGGAACUAGUUGUGGGGUCCAUUCCACGGAUUCCGUGACGCA
rnacentral:rRNA from 1 species